UUCUUUGACUGCAGAGAAAUCAGAGCGAUCCAAAGACUAGGUCAGUCCGGUUUGCAGCUGCAGGGACUAACGCGCUGAGAUCUUACAUGGGUUGGAGAAACCUUGCCUGUGGCUGACAGCCUGCUUGGCACACUCCUGCUGAAGUCCUUUGGUGAUGAAGAGCAGGCCUGACAAAUGACCAGAUUCCAGCUCCAGCUGCUGUCCCCCUGAACUUCAUGCUGGAAGAAUGUGAGAACUGGAAGGGGCCUCAAUAAUCACCAAGCUCAGUGGUUUUCAAAUUUCAUUUUGGCAACAGAAACCCUUCUCGUGAAAUCUCAUUCGGAAGCCCUGUGAGUGGAACAGUUCAAAGCGGAGCUUGUAUCUUUGAAGCGGGGGUCUGCUCACCUCUUACCCACAUAGCCCCUGGAGGCUUCCUCAAAGCGGGUCAGAGAACCACUGAUUGGGUCCAGCCCUUCAUUUCACAGGCUGCUCCAGGUCUCAGCUGCCACGUGAUGGAUCUUCGUUGCGGCAUGCCUGAUCCUUUAGUUGUGAAGUGAGGAUUAAAAGAAUAAAGGAUAGAGGAAAUGAAGGGAAAAAUAGAGCCAUCAGAGGUGAUGAUAUUGAAGUCUGAUGCUGACCCAAUUCUGAUGCUGACCCAGAGAAAAUUGAACCUGCUUGCAUUUCCACUGACCAACUAAAUAAAGGGCUGGUUAAGAAGCUUCGAGAGACUUCCCUGGUGGCGCAGUGGUUAAGACCCUUCAC